rnacentral:rRNA from 1 species
CAUUAGCCGCGGGAAUACGAAGGGGGCUAGCGUUGCUCGGAAUCACUGGGCGUAAAGGGUGCGUAGGCGGGUCUUUAAGUCAGGGGUGAAAUCCUGGAGCUCAACUCCAGAACUGCCUUUGAUACUGAAGAUCUUGAGUUCGGGAGAGGUGAGUGGAACUGCGAGCGUAGAGGUGAAAUUCGUAGAUACUCGCAAGAACACCAGUGGCGAAGGCGGCUCACUGGCCCGAUACUGACGCUGAGGCACGAAAGCGUGGGGAGCAAACAGGAUUAGAUACCCCAGUAGUCCCUGUCUCUUAUAC